rnacentral:rRNA from 1 species
UACGUAGGGUGCAAGCGUUAAUCGGAAUUACUGGGCGUAAAGCGUGCGCAGGCGGUUAUAUAAGACAGUUGUGAAAUCCCCGGGCUCAACCUGGGAACUGCAUUGGUGACUGGCAGGCUUUGAGUGUGGCAGAGGGAGGUAGAAUUCCACGUGUAGCAGUGAAAUGCGUAGAGAUGUGGAGGAAUACCGAUGGCGAAGGCAGCCUCCUGGGCCAACACUGACGCUCAUGCACGAAAGCGUGGGGAGCAAACAGG